CCCCUAGACGUUCUGGGCUGCACGCGCGCUACAAUAAUACGCACAGCGAGUAUCACCGAGCUCGAAAGGGCAAGGUAAACAAUAGAAAAGGUACUGUAAUGGUUAUAGAUCCUUGUAAUUAUUGAUCUUCAACGAGGAAUUCCUAGUAAGUAUGUGUCAUCAUCACGCACUGAUUACGUCCCUGCCCUUUGUACACACCGCCCGUCGCUCCUACCGAUUGGGUGAGCCGAUGAAACUCUCGGAUGUAAGCUAUUCAUAGCCCGCAGAAGAGAUUUGAAUCGUAGCGCUUAGAGGAAGGAGAAGUCGUAACA
rnacentral:rRNA from 1 species